rnacentral:rRNA from 1 species
CCUACGGGGGGCAGCAGUGGGGAAUAUUGGACAAUGGGCGAAAGCCUGAUCCAGCCAUGCCGCGUGUGUGAAGAAGGCCUUCGGGUUGUAAAGCACUUUCAGUGGGGAAGAAAGCCUUGGGGCUAAUACCCUCGAGGAAGGACAUCACCCACAGAAGAAGCACCGGCUAACUCCGUGCCAGCAGCCGCGGUAAUACGGAGGGUGCGAGCGUUAAUCGGAAUUACUGGGCGUAAAGCGCGCGUAGGCGGUCUGAUAAGCCGGUUGUGAAAGCCCCGGGCUCAACCUGGGAACGGCAUCCGGAACUGUCAGGCUAGAGUGCAGGAGAGGAAGGUAGAAUUCCCGGGGUAGCGGUGAAAUGCGUAGAGAUCGGGAGGAAUACCAGUGGCGAAGGCGGCCUUCUGGACUGACACUGACGCUGAGGUGCGAAAGCGUGGGUAGCAAACAGGAUUAGAUACCCCAGUAGU